UAAUACUGCAAGUCGAGCGAAAGACGAGGAGCUUGCUCCUCUGACGUUAGCGGCGGACGGGUGAGUAACACGUGGAUAACCUACCUAUAAGACUGGGAUAACUUCGGGAAACCGGAGCUAAUACCGGAUAACAUGUUAAACCGCAUGGUUCAACAGUGAAAGACGGUCUUGCUGUCACUUAUAGAUGGAUCCGCGCCGCAUUAGCUAGUUGGUAAGGUAACGGCUUACCAAGGCAACGAUGCGUAGCCGACCUGAGAGGGUGAUCGGCCACACUGGAACUGAGACACGGUCCAGACUCCUACGGGAGGCAGCAGUAGGGAAUCUUCCGCAAUGGGCGAAAGCCUGACGGAGCAACGCCGCGUGAGUGAAGAAGGUCUUCGGAUCGUAAAACUCUGUUAUUAGGGAAGAACAAAUGUGUAAGUAACUAUGCACGUCUUGACGGUACCUAAUCAGAAAGCCACGGCUAACUACGUGCCAGCAGCCGCGGUAAUACGUAGGUGGCAAGCGUUAUCCGGAAUUAUUGGGCGUAAAGCGCGCGUAGGCGGUUUUUUAAGUCUGAUGUGAAAGCCCACGGCUCAACCCGUGGAGGGUCAUUGGAAACUGGAAAAUUUGAGUGCAUAAGAUGAAAUGUUCAAUNUCCUUUUGUAUCAGGUGAAAUGCGCAUAAAUAUAUAAAUUAACACUUAUUU
rnacentral:rRNA from 1 species